UGUUACUAUGUAGGUAAGCUGUUUUUUUAUAUAUUAAGAAAUCCAAAGUACUUUUUUCCCUCCAUCCCCUUGUAGGUAGGCUGUUAUUCUGCAUGUUGUUUGAUUAAAUACAAGAAUGAAUGAGAAGACUCAACAGAGAUGUGUUCUGGUGCAGGUAUCAGUACCAAGCUGCCAGAAUUCUUGGACACUAAACAUGUACACAAUUUCUCUCCUUUGAGAUUGGUGGUUUAGCAAGCACAAGGUCCCAGGUCCUCAGCUUCGGAAAAAGAAAAAGGUAACUGGUACAAUUUCUCUCCUCCAUUCCUUGAAUCAGAGUGCAAAGGGACUUCAGUACCAUUUUUGUUCAAUUGAUAUUUCAG
rnacentral:lncRNA from 1 species